ACAGGUAAAAUUAAAUUUUUUGUUUUAAAUAGGAGGGUUAAAAAAUUUUUUCCUAAAAAAGAUUCUCUGGUACCUUUUGCAUCAUGGGUUAACAAAAAUUACUAAAUUAAUAAAUCCCGAAAAAGUUUUUUGAGAAAAAUUAAAUUGUUUGUGGAAAAGCACAUAAAAAAUUUUUUUCUAAAAUGAUAUGUUUUAUAGCUUAUAUCUGGUUUUUGGAGUUUUUAUUUAAUAAUUUAAUUUGUUCAUAAAAAAUUUGUUAAGAUUAGUUAAUAAAUUUUUUAUAAAGCAAUCUUUUUAUAAUGAAAAAAUAAAAAUAAAAAUUUUUUUAGAGUUGGCUAUACUUCUUUUAGAAUAUAAUAUUUUUAAGCUUUUUAUGAAUUCAAAAUUCCUGAAAAAUUUUUUCUGGGGAGAUAUUAUGUUAAUAUAAGUAAAUUAAUUUGUUUAGCGUAAGUAUAAAAAUUUUAUUUUCUUUAAUUUUGUAAAAUAUUUUAGAAACUCGACAAAUGUAGUUUGGCCUGUUUUUCAAAGACAUCUCCCCUUCAAGGGGUAUUUCCUGCUCAGUGAAAAAUUUUUAACAGCCGGCAACGCUAAGGUAGCGUAAUAAUUAGUUCUUUAAUUAAGAAAGGGUAUGAAUGGAUACACUAGAAAAAUUUUUCUUCAAUAACUAUUGAAUUUUAUUUUUAAUGAAAAGAUUAAAAUGAGAUUUUUAGACGAUAAGACCCUAUGAAGCUUUACUUUAUAAAAGUUUUUUUGGGGCAAAAAAUAAAAUUUUUAUUGUAAAAAAGUUAUGUAAGAUCUUUUUGAAGAAUAAGAAAAAGCUACUCUAGGGAUAACAGCAUAAUUUUUAUAAAAGCUCUUAUUGAAAUAAAAGAUUGUGACCUCGAUGUUGAAUUAAGAAAAAUAAUUUGUGAAGCAGCUAAUUAUUUUUAGUCUGUUCGACUAAAAUUUCUUACAUGAUUUGAGUUUAGAUCGACGAAAGUCAGAUUGGUUUCUAUCUAAAAUUUGGUAAAGUUAUUUUAGUACGAAAGGAAAAAAAAGCUUUUU
rnacentral:rRNA from 1 species